CAGUCGAGCGAAGCAGUUAAGUUGAUUUCUUCGGAUUGAUUCUUAAUUGACUGAGCGGCGGACGGGUGAGUAACGCGUGGGUGACCUGCCCCAUACCGGGGGAUAACAGCUGGAAACGGCUGCUAAUACCGCAUAAGCGCACAGAGCUGCAUGGCUCAGUGUGAAAAACUCCGGUGGUAUGGGAUGGGCCCGCGUCUGAUUAGGCAGUUGGCGGGGUAACGGCCCACCAAACCGACGAUCAGUAGCCGGCCUGAGAGGGCGACCGGCCACAUUGGGACUGAGACACGGCCCAAACUCCUACGGGAGGCAGCAGUGGGGAAUAUUGCACAAUGGGGGAAACCCUGAUGCAGCGACGCCGCGUGAGCGAAGAAGUAUUUCGGUAUGUAAAGGUCUAUCAGCAGGGAAGAUAAUGACGGUACCUGACUAAGAAGCCCCGGCUAACUACGUGCCAGCAGCCGCGGUAAUACGUAGGGGGCAAGCGUUAUCCGGAUUUACUGGGUGUAAAGGGAGCGUAGACGGCAAGGCAAGUCUGAUGUGAAAACCCAGGGCUUAACCCUGGGACUGCAUUGGAAACUGUCUGGCUCGAGUGCCGGAGAGGUAAGCGGAAUUCCUAGUGUAGCGGUGAAAUGCGUAGAUAUUAGGAAGAACACCAGUGGCGAAGGCGGCUUACUGGACGGUAACUGACGUU
rnacentral:rRNA from 1 species